rnacentral:rRNA from 1 species
UUAAAGGGCCGUGGUAUACUGACCAUGCGAAGGUAGCAUAAUCAUUAGCCUUUUGAUUUGAGGCUGGAAUGAAUGGUCUGACGAGAGGCAACCUGUCUCCUUAAUUAACUUGAAUUUAAUCUUUAAGUGAAAAAGCUUAAAUAGCCUUGGAGGACGAUAAGACCCUAUAGAUCUUUACAUCCGGCUUUUUCAUCUAACGGUGGGUAAUCGGGCGGAAGAGGAGGAUGUUUGGUUGGGGCGACGUCGAGAGAAGAAUAAACACUCGAGAAUAUACAUACAUCAAUAAAUGAUCAUUGAUCCUUAGAUGAAAAUAGAGUAAGUUACCUUAGGGAUAACAGCGUAAUUCUUUUUGAGAGCUCAAAUCGACAAAAGAGUUUGCGACCUCGAUGUUGGUUCAGGGACCCUAUUUGGUGCAGCAGCUUAAUCAGGUAGUC